rnacentral:tRNA from 1 species
UGGUGUGGCUCAACGGUAGAGCAGCUGAUUUGUAAUCAGCAGGUUGGGGGUUCGAUUCCCUCCGCC